rnacentral:rRNA from 1 species
AUUGAACGCUGGCGGCAUGCCUUACACAUGCAAGUCGAACGGCAGCACGGGGGCAACCCUGGUGGCGAGUGGAGAACGGGAGAGUAAUGCAUCGGAACGUGCCCAGUAGUGGGGGAUAACCCGGCGAAAGCCGGGCUAAUACCGCAUACGACCUAAGGGUGAAAGCGGGGGACCGUAAGGCCUCGCGCUAUUGGAGCGGCCGAUGUCUGAUUAGCUAGUUGGCGGGGUAAAAGCCCACCAAGGCGACGAUCAGUAGCUGGUCUGAGAGGACGACCGGCCACACUGGGACUGAGACACGGCCGAGACGCGUACGGGAGGCAGCAGUGGGGAAUUUUGGACAAUGGGCGCAAGCCUGAUCCAGCCAUGCCGCGUGCGGGAAGAAGGCCUUCGGGUUGUAAACCGCUUUUGGCAGGAACGAAACGGCGCAAGCCAAUACCUUGCGCUAAUGACGGUACCUGCAGAAUAAGCACCGGCUAACUACGUGCCAGCCGCCGCCGUAACAC